rnacentral:rRNA from 1 species
AUUGAACGCUGGCGGCAGGCCUAACACAUGCAAGUCGAACGAGUGGCGGACGGGUGAGUAAUGUCUGGGAAACUGCCCGAUGGAGGGGGAUAACUACUGGAAACGGUAGCUAAUACCGCAUACAAUCGGAUGUGCCCAGAUGGGAUUAGAUCGUAAGUGGGGUACCGGCUCACCUAGGCGACGAUCCCUAGCUGGUCUGAGAGGAUGACCAGCCACACUGGACCUGAGACACGGUCCAGACUCCUACGAGAGGCAGCAGUGGGGAAUAUCGCGCAAUUGGCGCAAGCCUGAUGCAGCCAUGCCGCGUGUAUGAAGAAGGCCUUCGGGUUGUAAAGUACUGUCAGCGAGGAGGCGUUACUCGCAGAAGAAGCACCGGCUAACUCCGUGCGAGCGGCCGCGGUAAUAC